GACGAACGCUGGCGGCGUGCCUAAUACAUGCAAGUAGAACGCUGAAGGAGGAGCUUGCUUCUCCGGAUGAGUUGCGAACGGGUGAGUAACGCGUAGGUAACCUGCCUGGUAGCGGGGGAUAACUAUUGGAAACGAUAGCUAAUACCGCAUAAGAGUAGAUGUUGCAUGACAUUUGCUUAAAAGGUGCAAUUGCAUCACUACCAGAUGGACCUGCGUUGUAUUAGCUAGUUGGUGGGGUAACGGCUUACCAAGGCGACGAUACAUAGCCGACCUGAGAGGGUGAUCGGCCACACUGGGACUGAGACACGGCCCAGACUCCUACGGGAGGCAGCAGUAGGGAAUCUUCGGCAAUGGACGGAAGUCUGACCGAGCAACGCCGCGUGAGUGAAGAAGGUUUUCGGAUCGUAAAGCUCUGUUGUAAGAGAAGAACGAGUGUGAGAGUGGAAAGUUCACACUGUGACGGUAUCUUACCAGAAAGAGACGGCUAACUACGUG
rnacentral:rRNA from 1 species